GAAGUUGGAUUCGCUGUAAUCGCGCAUCAGCCAUGGCGCGGUGAAUACGUUCCCGGGCCUUGUACACACCGCCCGUCAAGCCAUGGGAGCCGGGGGUGCCUGAAGUUCGUGACCGCAAGGAGCGACCUAGGGCAAAACUGGUGACUGGGGCUAAGUCGUAACAAGGUACC
rnacentral:rRNA from 1 species